GGUUCCUUUAUUUUCUUAUGGAAUAAGAAGAAUUCUUCCAUUCUCUUUUUAUUUUUGUUUUCUCCAAAGAAAAACUUUUCGAGGGAGCGGAAUUCCUAGUAAAAAAAAUAUUGGAUCCUUCCACUUAGAUGAAAAGGAAUUUUUCCCAUAGAGCCAUGGAAUCCCCGAGCCGUUGUGGCUGUACUGCAGGAAUACGAAAACUUGCUAUUCAC
rnacentral:lncRNA from 1 species